UACGUAGGUCCCGAGCGUUGUCCGGAUUUAUUGGGCGUAAAGCGAGCGCAGGUGGUUUAUUAAGUCUGGUGUAAAAGGCAGUGGCUCAACCAUUGUAUGCAUUGGAAGCUGGUAGACUUGAGUGCAGGAGAGGAGAGUGGAAUUCCAUGUGUAGCGGUGAAAUGCGUAGAUAUAUGGAGGAACACCGGUGGCGAAAGCGGCUCUCUGGCCUGUAACUGACACUGAGGCUCGAAAACGUGGGGAGCAAACAGG
rnacentral:rRNA from 1 species